GAUGAACGCUGGCGGCGUGCCUAAUACAUGCGAGUCGAGCGAACGGACGAGAAGCUUGCUUCUCUGAUGUUAGCGGCGGACGGGUGAGUAACACGUGGAUAACCUACCUAUAAGACUGGGAUAACUUCGGGAAACCGGAGCUAAUACCGGAUAAUAUUUUGAACCGCAUGGUUCAAAAGUGAAAGACGGUCUUGCUGUCACUAUUAGAUGGACCCGCGCUGCAUUAGCUAGUUGGUAAGGUAACGGCUUACCAAGGCAACGAUGCAUAGCCGACCUGAGAGGGUGAUCGGCCACACUGGAACUGAGACACGGUCCAGACUCCUACGGGAGGCAGCAGUAGGGAAUCUUCCGCAAUGGGCGAAAGCCUGACGGAGCAACGCCGCGUGAGUGAUGAAGGUCUUCGGAUCGUAAAACUCUGUUAUUAGGGAAGAACAUAUGUGUAAGUAACUGUGCACAUCUUGACGGUACCUAAUCAGAAAGCCACGGCUAACUACGUG
rnacentral:rRNA from 1 species